AAAGAAUCCUCAAGAAUCUCUGCAUAAAGCACCACGGGAUGUUCUCCCAGACACUGCAGAACCAGUGAAAAGACAGUAAUGUUUUGUCAUUAUGAAAGGGGCAAGGAUUCUGAAGCCCUCUGUUCUGCCACAGACAGAACCAGUGGAAGAUGCCCAACACUAAUCCACCCAUCCAUAUGCUUCAGUCCUAUCUUGGAAAGAAUACCAGAGGCACCUGGAAGCAGGAAGAAGAAGUAAUGAGAAACCCUGGAGAGUCCUGCUGAUGUGAUUCUGGACUGCAAAUCCCAGAGACCUUGGGGGCAGCAGGAAGAGGAAGCAAACAAACAGCCCAUGCUGACUGUGUGCCAGAGAGCUGUGCUGUAGUGCCUCCAGCUUCUGGUCUGAGCUGCUGCAGGCAUGUGGCUUCAUUUUCUGAAUCAAAAGUGAAUGUCUGUCCAGUUGUUUCUCAGGUUAAUCUCUGAAGCUUAGAUUACUGCUGUCUGUACUUAGCUGAAGAGUUGGGAAGAACAACUUCAGAGGACCUAUAAUCCUGGAAGGGAAUGUGCCCAGGUGCUCUGUCACCCUUGCAAUUUGACUGAUGCAUGGGAACUUGGAAGGGGAUUGACCCUUCUCAGUGCAAAUAAAAUAUUGGGACAAUCUACUUUCCAAACUUUAAAUAAUUAUUACUAAGCACACGGGAAUAGCUUUUUCAGAGACCUAUAACUUGGGCAGAUUGGGGUGGUGUUCUAUGAAAGCAAUAAAAGGCAAAUUUCUAACUCCAGAAUAGACUCCCCUGUAAAAUUUCAAAUCCCUGAGCCAAAGAAUGGAGGUAUUAGAGCUUCUCAAUGAAAUCUUUCUAAGGAUCUCUUUAAUGUGGGCAACAUUUAUUCUUAAUAUCUUUGUUUUCUGAAAUGGCUGCACUGUCAAAAACUGUAUGGUGGUGCUUUUGCUGAAUCUUUGCAAAGUUAAUAAAAAGAUUCAGCCUUGGACAGAUAAUCGGCAUGGAAACUACCAAUGCAAAUGUUUUAAAUUCAACAAAGUUAUCAAGAACUGAACAAUCUAAGCUACCUCUAUAACCUAUAAUACAUUUUUUGGUAAACAUUCAUCACCGAUACGACACUGCCUCUCAGUCUAUCCAUUGGUAGUUGAACAAUAUCUUGUAGACUUCCUGGGAGAGCUGACUUUUGAGGUCUUAAGGACCUCUUCAGAGGCCAUAUAUUUUAUAAGAAGCAGAAAUGAAAUCACAAAGAUAUUUAGGAAAGAAGAGGAUCUGUCAAGAACAGAUAAACAGGAAGAAGACUGGCAAAGACUUACCAGAAGUGCAUAUGCACACUCACAUUCUCAUGUUCUCUCUCUCUCCCCCCGUAUACAUGCAUGCACACACACACAUGUGGACACACACACAGGCGUGCACGCACACACAUACACAGAGUGUACAUUUAAGGGGGCAACAAUAUUUGUGGGGGUAUUUGAAGAGUGUAAACAACAAAGGGGGAAACUGACUGAGGUACCACAGAGGAAUUGGAUGAUACUGAAGAAAGAGCAGUUUUAAGUAAAAUCCUAGUAAAAGCUUCCUGGUCCAAAGAUUUAUUUUACUUUCUAUAAUUAAAUGCUUUAAAUAAUCCAUCUACUUACUCUAGGCAUAUGUCCAAUGAAAAUAAUUAUAUAUAUUACAUAUUAAUAAGAAAUUCUAAAUGCUUCUUUGUCCAAUUAAUACAUCAGAACCAUCAAUAAUAUCCUCACAAAACCCACAUAUAUCCUCCUUUUUCAUUCCAUUCUCAAGAAAUCUGGGAAAGCAGAUAAGCUCUAGCUAUGUACCAUGAGGAUAGACUAAUGGGACUCUGUCAUUUGAACAGAAGCAGCAAUUCUGAGAUAACCAGCUCAGCAAAAAUACUUCACAAAUAUUUAAAUAGUUACAAUCAAAUCUGGCCCUUCCUUCAUCUCAGGAGCUUUGUUGCUCGAGUAUAACAACUGAUCUCGUUUACUAUAAUACCACACCCACCCACACAGAGAACUUGGAUUCCUGAGAGAGGUGGAAAAGUCUUUUUUGAGAAGACCCAUUGCUUGGGAAUUUAGACCAGACAAAAUUCUCUCUCACUCUUGAGAGAGAUGGGCCUAUUAAGGAUCUGCUGCAAUGCCCAUUAAAUUCAACAGGAAUUCAUUUGUUCACAAACUCAGUUCACAGCAGAACCAGGAACUAAACUCAGGCUCUCCUUAGUCCCAGACCAGUGCUUUAAUCACAACUAUGAUGCUUUAACAAUGACAAUAAAUAUAAACUGUGCUUUUAAUGAAUACUAAUGCAGAUCCUAAGAGCUUCUAUAGGUGAACAGAAAUAGGUAGCCAAAUGGCCUUUAAAGAAAAACAAUGAUAUGAAUAAGUUUACAACUCUACUUUGCAAUCAUAACAACCAAAGUUUAAAAAUACUGUGACCAAAUGUGGUAAAUAAUGAUAGAGUAGAAAAGUGAUGCUGCUAUGGUAACUACUAAGGAUUCAGACAGGCUGUUGAUAUACAAUCUUAUGAGAUAUGUCAAACCAAACACUUUAUUCAUAAUCUUAAACUUCAAAAAAUUGACAAUUUAAAGUUAAAUGAAAUUAAAGAAGAGUUAUAUUUUUUUCCAGUUAGAGAUGCCAGAGUUAAGGCUGAGAUGAAAUGUCCAUGCUACUGCCUUCUCUUCAGCUGUAAUUUCUAAGACAUCUUAAAAGAAUAAGCUUUCCAUGGUUGGCUAUAGCCUGGUCAUGAGUUUCAGAAACUUAGAAGAAAAAAAAUUCAGACAAUUAAGAAUUACCUACUCUAGUGGGAGGAACAAAGGGAAAACCACAUUGUUCAUUCCCUGACAUAAUCCCUGUGAUGUUUAAAGUGCAUGUUCCA